rnacentral:hammerhead_ribozyme from 1 species
AGCCGAAACAGCCUAAAUGAAGGCUGUCUGGAGACGAUAGGAACGUCUUCACUGAUGAGGCAACCUAGU